UCUUUCUUUCGUGUCAACAUGCGAGUGUGUUGGUAGUGACAAUUUUUAGUUAGGAACUAGUGGUGGAAUAUGAGGAAUAUUUUGAUGCGCAGGACAUCGGUAGCCGAAGUAAAUUCCAUAUGUUUUCGUCGGUUUGCUUUACGCAGACAUGGAAUCGAAAGCUUUUUCUGUGGACUAUUAAAAAAAAAUACUACCUUAUCUAAAUAAAGAUGCACAUGUCGGAAAAGAAGUUUUACGUGCGGGAAUUAACGUAAUAGAUGUCAAAAAUAAUAAGUCGUUGAAGAAAGCUGUCAAAAGUCGGCUUGCGAAGUCGAGGGGCUUCUAAUCUGAAAAGAAAAGCCAUAGAAAAAAAUAAGUUUCCGGAUGAGGGGGUCGAGAUAUAAAAUAUCCGCAAAGUCUGCAACACUUCAGUUUCUACUCAGUGUCGAGAUAGUCGUAUCGUGUUUAAACGUCCAAAAAUAAAAAAAAAUUCGAAAAGUACCACAGAGAAAAAGAACAAAAAAAGUGACGAAGAAAAAGAAAAUUCAUACUGCAGAAAAAAAAACUAUCCGCUAGGAAACAUCAAGAAACGUGACAUAUCUAAUAUAUUCUCUUAAUUGAGAUAAGAAUUCGCGGCUGGAGAAAAAGCAUGUCCUUUCUUCAUACUCACUCAAGCGAGUAUAAAGAGCGAACGAUUUCGCUCGAUUUCUUCUUUUUGCCUCCUACGCAAAUCAUUGAGAGCAGGGAUUUAUUACAAUAACAUCGCUCGCGGACGAUUUGCCCAUAGAAUUUGUCAUACUCAGACAUAAAGAAGACUAUCUGGAUCUCACUCACACCAUGUUGAGCCUUUGUAUACACAUAGAAAGCGAAUGCGGAGAGAGCACAUCAAUCGCACCCGACAACGUCGCAAAAGUAGGAUAAAUCCGUAAAUCAUUUACUGUAUUCCAUAUUCAAACAAAUCGACAUAUAUUUCAAUUAAAAGCUUGUGUCGUCACCAAACAACGCUUACGCUUAUCGCGCGUACAUCGAGGCGUUAUUAAAUUAUGCUUCACCCGCAAAAACUUCCUACCUAGUCUCCGGAUGCGGAUAUCCCCGGUUACAUGAACGACACGUUAGACUCAUCGACUUCAAAUACGGCGUUCAAGAGUCGCGCACAAUACAUUCAGGGAAAUCGCGCACUAGACCUUCACUCCGACAUUUCGAUUUUCAAUCAAAAUAAAAUUUUAAUUAAUGGAGUGGAAGUUAGAAUGAGACUCAUACGUUCGAAAGAUUUUGCUUUGUGGAGAGUAAAUCGAUGUCAAAAAUACGUAUUCUUGAUACACCUAUUCGUAAGGAGAGCAAAAAUAAAUCCGGUGUGCUACUCGCACACGCUAGAAUGCUAAAUAAAACUAUCACCAAGUAUCCUCUUACGAAAGUCGAAGUUAAAACAUUUACGAUACUCGCUGGCGUAGUAGGAGAAUCGAUAAACAAUGCAAUACUCGGACAGCUGCCGAAACGAAUAAUAGUCAGCUUUGUCGAUAAGGCGUUUAACAGCGAUAGAAAAUUGAACUCGUUUAAUUUCAAAAAUUACGGAAUAAAUUUCUUUUCACUGUACGCCGAUGGCAUGCAAAUUUCCAAUAGACCGUUACAGCCAAAUUUUUCGAAAGAGAAGCUGCUUUACGUGGAAGCUUAUCACACAUCUCAGUGACUCUCAAACGACUCAGUCAAAUAUGUCAAUAUAACAUCAAAACCGUCGUUUAUCGUCAUGGCGUUAAAGAAAUAAUUCAAUGAUGAAAAAUUGACAUCAUGUAGAAUGAUGUUUUAAGUGAGGAAAUAUCAUAGAAGAAGACAAAUUGUGACCGACGUAAUAGAAGAAUAUAACUGCGAAGAUGAUAAGACUGAAAACAUUGCAUUGUUGCGACUGAAAAUAGAUAUAAAAAAAUUAAUCACUUUGCGUAACUUUGCUAUAAUUUGCAGAAAUUGUAUUGUAUUUAACCGUUUUAUGAUUUUUAUUAAAUUUGCGUUAAUUUAUCGACAUGUAUACAUUGAGGAUGACCUGACAAAUAGAUCGAAACGUAUGUAUUUUUAAGAAUUUAAAUAUACGGAAAAUUUGGCUCUUA